GACAGAGGUGCCGAGCGUUAGGCGGAAUCACUGGGCUUAAAGCGUGUGUAGGCGGGCCGCAUAGUGCCUUGUGAAAUCCCCCGGCUCAACCGGGGAACGGCUGGGCAGACUGGCGGCCUUGGACCAACUAGGGGUCAUCGGAACAAGCGGUGGAGCGGUGAAAUGCGUAGAUAUCGCUUGGAACGCCCGCGGCGAAAGCGGAUGACUGGGGUUGUGCCGACGCUGAGACACGAAAGCCAGGGGAGCGAACGGG
rnacentral:rRNA from 1 species